AAACGGACACAACUCCGGGAAGCCUUUGAGCAGCUCCAGGCCAAGAAACAAAUGGCCAUGGAGAAACGCAGAGCAGUCCAGAACCAGUGGCAGCUACAACAGGAGAAGCAUCUGCAGCAUCUGGCGGAGGUUUCUGCAGAGGUGAGGGAGCGUAAGACAGGGACUCAGCAGGAGCUUGACAGGGUGUUUCAGAAACUUGGAAACCUGAAGCAGCAGGCAGAACAGGAGCGGGACAAGCUGCAGAGGGUAAGCUGUUGUUCCCUGAGGCUGAGGCUGAGGCAGAGAAUCUUCCAGAUGAUAAACCCCAGCAGCCGACUCGACCCCAGGAGCAGAGUACAGGAGACACCAUGGGGAGAGACCCUGGUGUGUCCUUCAAGGCUGUUGGUCUACAACCUGCUGGAGAUGUAAAUUUGCCAUGACUUCCUGGAGGACAGCAGCAUGGAGAAAGAUCCUAGAAAAGGCCUCUGACUUCCCUCACCUCCCAACCAUCAUUACAGGAAAGACUGUGAACUCCUGAGUUCAGCUUGAUUUCUGACUACAUCCCAGCAAGCUCUGGCAUCUGUGGAUUAAAAUCCCUGGAUCUCUCUCAGUUGUGUAUUUGUUCAUCUUCAUAUGCUGGCAGGAACAACUAUUAAUACAGAUACUCAGAAGCCAAUAACAUGACAGGAGCUGGGACUGGUUUGAACACAGGGUGUGCAGAUGGGGAGGGGGUACUGGCCUUGGGCCUCCUAUGAUGCAGACAUGGUGAAUUUAAUUCAAGGAGGAGGAGAAUGUUUUAGGCAGGUGGUUAUAUGUGGGAAGAUAAUUUUAUUCAUGGAUCCAAAUGUUUG
rnacentral:lncRNA from 1 species